rnacentral:rRNA from 1 species
GAUGAACGCUGGCGGCGUGCCUAAUACAUGCAAGUCGAACGCACAGCGAAAGGUGCUUGCACCUUUCAAGUGAGUGGCGAACGGGUGAGUAACACGUGGACAACCUGCCUCAAGGCUGGGGAUAACAUUUGGAAACAGAUGCUAAUACCGAAUAAAACUUAGUGUCGCACGACACAAAGUUAAAAGGCGCUUCGGCGUCACCUAGAGAUGGAUCCGCGGUGCAUUAGUUAGUUGGUGGGGUAAAGGCCUACCAAGACAAUGAUGCAUAGCCGAGUUGAGAGACUGAUCGGCCACAUUGGGACUGAGACACGGCCCAAACUCCUACGGGAGGCUGCAGUAGGGAAUCUUCCACAAUGGGCGAAAGCCUGAUGGAGCAACGCCGUGUGUGUGAUGAAGGCUUUCGGGUCGUAAAGCACUGUUGUAUGGGAAGAACAGCUAGAAUAGGAAAUGAUUUUAGUUUGACGGUACCAUACCAGAAAGGGACGGCUAAAUACGUGCCAGCCGCCGCCUGUAA